AGUGAACGCUGGCGGUAGGCCUAACACAUGCAAGUCGAACGGCAGCACAGUAAGAGCUUGCUCUUACGGGUGGCGAGUGGCGGACGGGUGAGGAAUACAUCGGAAUCUACUUUUUCGUGGGGGAUAACGUAGGGAAACUUACGCUAAUACCGCAUACGACCUACGGGUGAAAGCAUGGGAUCUUCGGACCUUGCGCGAUUGAAUGAGCCGAUGUCGGAUUAGCUAGUUGGCGGGGUAAAGGCCCACCAAGGCGACGAUCCGUAGCUGGUCUGAGAGGAUGAUCAGCCACACUGGAACUGAGACACGGUCCAGACUCCUACGGGAGGCAGCAGUGGGGAAUAUUGGACAAUGGGCGAAAGCCUGAUACAGCCAUACCGCGUGGGUGAAGAAGGCCUUCGGGUUGUAAAGCCCUUUUGUUGGGAAAGAAAAGCAGCAGGUUAAUACCCCGCUGUUCUGACGGUACCCAAAGAAUAAGCACCGGCUAACUUCGUG
rnacentral:rRNA from 1 species